AUUGAACGCUGGCGGCAGGCUUAACACAUGCAAGUCGAGCGGGGUGAUGGUGCUUGCACUAUCACUUAGCGGCGGACGGGUGAGUAAUGCUUAGGAAUCUGCCUAUUAGUGGGGGACAACAUCUCGAAAGGGAUGCUAAUACCGCAUACGUCCUACGGGAGAAAGCAGGGGAUCACUUGUGACCUUGCGCUAAUAGAUGAGCCUAAGUCGGAUUAGCUAGUUGGUGGGGUAAAGGCCUACCAAGGCGACGAUCUGUAGCGGGUCUGAGAGGAUGAUCCGCCACACUGGGACUGAGACACGGCCCAGACUCCUACAGGAGGCAGCAGUGGGGAAUACUGGACAAUGGGGGGAACCCUGAUCCAGCCAUGCCGCGUGUGUGAAGAAGGCCUUAUGGUUGUAAAGCACUUUAAGCGAGGAGGAGGCUCUUUUGGUUAAUACCCAAGAUGAGUGGACGUUACUCGCAGAAUAAGCACCGGCUAACUCUGUGCCAGCCGCCGCGGUAA
rnacentral:rRNA from 1 species